UGAGUAACCUGCCCUUGACUCUGGGAUAAGCCUGGGAAACCGGGUCUAAUACUGGAUAUGACUGUCGGCCGCAUGGUCUGGUGGUGGUAAGCUUUAUUGCGGUUUUGGAUGGACUCGCGGCCUAUCAGCUUGUUGGCGGGAUAAUGGCCCACCAAGGCGACGACGGGUAGCCGGCCUGAGAGGGUGACCGGCCACACUGGGACUGAGACACGGCCCAGACUCCUACGGGAG
rnacentral:rRNA from 1 species